GCCCGAGUGAUGGAACAGGCAGACAUGCUCGCCUCAAAAGCGAGUGCUUAACGGCGUAUGGGUUCGAAUCCCAUCUCGGGCA
rnacentral:tRNA from 1 species